GGUACUUUAAGGAGUAAGAACGAACUCAAAGGUAUUUUUGUAUAUGUAAUAACAUCAAGACAACAGAGAAAUCUUAGAAAUAGUUUAUCACAGAUUAUUCAAGUUUCUCCAUAUUUUAUAUGCAUGAUUAAUACAUUGUAUGACUGGUUUAAUAGUAAUAGAAAAUGCAGUGUAUGAUAAAUACUAAUAAGAAAUCUGUAUUAGACAAUAAUGCCAGUUUUCUAUAUAUAUCAUCAUUGCUGGAAGUAACUGUAUAUUAUUGGUGUAAGCAAUCACACAUUUUAUUAUGCAGAUAUAUUUUAUCACAUGGACAUAUGUCUUUAAGAAUUUUUAAAUUUGUUUGCCCGGCAAAGUAUAUAACCGCCAGGCUACGGCCACUGCACCUAUCUUGAUAAAGCCC